GGAGGUAGAGCCAUGUCUAUGUUCAUAGAUAAGAUGAGAGCACCCCUCCAGCUUGGCUGGAGUCCGUCACUCCUCAGCAGGCCAGACUUGGUCCUGUUUGUGGGUGUCCCAGAAAGAGAGCCAAUUAUCUACUAAUUCUAUCUUUUGGGAGAGGCAGAAAACAGUUUUCUGUUUAAUGUUUUCAACCAGCAAUUGGGUUGUGAUACUCUGCUGUAGAACUCAUCACUCCCCCUAUCUGGGAGGGGUCAGAGACAGUUCUCGAUGCUUACACAUUGUUCUAGCUGAUUUACACGCUGAAGCUAUGUGGCGCUUGGUGACCUCUGACUGUUUCAUCCUAACAUCGUUAGUGCCGACGUAGAUAGCAAUAUCCCUACACUCUCUACACUCGCUAGAUUUGCCUUAGCCAGCACCAUCUUCAUAUUAGUCUUAAUGUUGGUAGCCCUUUCCCCUGGUAAACAGUGUAUGAUCGCUGGAUGAUUCUUUUUAAGUCUAAUGCUGCGGGUAGUGGAGUCGCCAAUGACUAGGGUUUUCAAUUUGUCAGAGCUAAUGGUGGGUGGCUUCGGUGUCUCAGACCCCGUAACGGGAGGAGGAGAGACCAGAGAAGGCCCGUUCUAUGACUCCGACUUCUUGCUUAACGGGGAGAACUGGUUGAAAAUUUCUGUCGGCUGAAUGAGCGACACCGGUUGAGCAUUCCUGCAGCAUUUCCUUCCAGAAGCCUUGAGAAAACUGUUCGGCUGCGCGGAUUGUGCGAGGGGAUUUAUACUAUUGUACUUAUUGGUGGCACAGGGGCUCUUUCAUCCUUUCCUACACUUAAAUUACAAUUGCCUAACGAUUGCGUCUGAAGCUGGGCUUGCAGCACGGCUAUCAUCACCAUAAGGUGAUCAUUCUCCUGUAUAUUAUGAGUACAGCGACUGCAAUUAGAAGGCAUAAUGUUAAUGUUACUACUUAGCUUCGUCUGUUGGAGGUCAUGUAGAACCAUGUCCAGAUAAAGCGUCCGGAAUGAAAAAGUUUAAUUUAAAAAAGUUGAGUGAGGGGAACAUUUUUUAAAUAUAAAACUGUAAUUAAAAAGUAAAAACUGUGAAGUUGGCAGGUCGCAAAGUAACGUUAGCAACAAACCGUACAGCAGCACGUAAAGUUCGCAAGUUGUGACCGGAAAUUACAAAUCUGUCGUUUCUCUUUGCUUAUUUGAGUUGUUCUUGCCAUAAUGUGGACUUGGUCUUUUACCAAAUAGGGCUAUCUUCUGUAUACCAACCAACCCUACCCUGUCACAACACAACUGAUUGGCUCAAACAGAUUAAGAAGGAAAGAAAUUCCACAAAUUAACUGUUAACAAGGCACACCUGACCUCUUAAGGAUUGGAUACUUCAUCUCAAUUUCCGUCUAAAAUGACAGACCCAAAUCUAAAUCAAGCUGAGGACAUGAAGCAAGAACAUGAAUAUUGUUGAUACUAUUUGAAAGGAAACAGUUUGAAGUUUGUGGAAAUGUGAAAUUAAUGUAGGAGAAUAUAACACAUAUCUGGUGAAAGUCAAAGCAAACAAACAUGUUUUCUAUAUAUUUUUUUGCAUCAUCUUUGCAAUGCAAAGAAAGGCCAUACAUUUACCUAGGAAGCUGGGUGUAAUUGUGAUGUUGUCCACAAAAGGGUGGCAUUGUAUGUGCAAAGUUUGACUGAUAUGUUCAGGAAUGAGAGCUUAACUUUAUAUUUUGUAUCAAGUCUCCCAAGUGUCCCUCACGAGUUUGCCCAGAUGUACACAAGUGGCCGAAUUGGUCACUUGAUACAUUUCCAAGCAUUUCCAAACAUUUAAGUUUACACUGACAAUGUCACUUGAUAAUUUAAAUCACUCAAGGAUAUGGUGGAAGCCUCCAACACGUCUAUCUUAAAACUCUCAAAUGACAUUUCCAGCCAAUCAGUCACAUGCAAGUCUCUGGAGCAGCUCUGUGAUGAGAUGCAGGUUAGCGCCAGGGCUGCUACAGAUGACGUAGCCACCUGCCGAGAUGCAGUGAAGCAACUGCGAGAUAAAAUUACGUUGCAUGAAGACAGAGAGAAGAGAGUGAACAUACGUCUUGUGGGUAGAACGGCAGAAGGUUCUGACCCAAAAGGAUUUCUUCAGGAGAAUCUACCAAAAUGGAUACCAUUGCUACAGUGGUUCCUCCUUUAAAAGUUGCGUUAUACUGUGGCACACCUUGCGGGCUGCUGCAGCAUUCUGUGGCACGUUAUCUAUUUGUCAGCAACUUUUCUGUUAAUGCAAGUUAUUGCUAGUUUGACCACUAGAAGGCAUCUUUGAGAUUCAUUUGAUAGUCUUCCAUAUUGGCAUUAAUGGAGAAUUUAAAACCUUUUUUGUAAUAACGUAGUAUAUGAGAUUGAUCUAAGAAAUUUGGCUUAAUUUGAUUAAUAUUAUGGUGUUUCUAUUCAGAGAAAGGGAAGGAGUCGGCUGUCCAUGUAAAUAGGAAUUUGUUCUUAACUGACUUGCCUAGUUAAAUUACGGUUACACUAAGAGCAUAACAUUUCUGUACCCUAAUUUUCUAAUUCUUAUCUAACCAAUACCCAAAUGGGGAUUAAGUGAAAAUAAAAAAUCUAAUUGAUUUGUCAAGACCUGUCUCCAUGCUUGCCUCAGAGCAGUGCGAAACGUUUUCUUCUUUUGCUUCUAACUUCAAUAUGCUCUUUAAAUAAAUAAGACCUACACUAUUUUUAACAGCACAUUACUCAACACAAGUGAGACUCAUUUCACCUAUGGUAGGCCUACAGUAUAUCGAUUUAUUUAUUUUCAAUGAUGUGACUAUACGCCAAUAAUUACAUUUAGAGGAUUGGAGGACUCUAAAUUAAAAUCUAAGGGGCAUUUUCCAUUAGGAUCUGUGAGAGUAUCUGAGAACAUCUAAGGGGCUUUUAUAUCAUUCUAAAUGAAUUAAUUAAAUAAUAAUAAUAACCGCUUUGUUUAAAAAGUAACAAUAUUUUGGAGCCUUCCUUUUCAUUUAAACCUCGGGUGAGUUAGGAAAAAGGCAGUCUCACAUGGGGUGAGACAUUCUCACUAAUUUGUAAAUAAAGCCAGUUUGUUAUUUAGAAAGGUUUCUCCAGAAAUAAAUCACACUUUAUUAUUUAGCAGACAUCACUUGCUUAUAUUCAUGAAGAUGAUGAGCGAUCGGCAAAAGCAAUCUGUAAUCUGCUGGCAUCACGGCACGACAUUGCUCUAAUUACAGUCAGAAGACAGUUGAAGAACCUUGCGUGGACUUGGAAAGGCUCAGUAAAAAACAAAUACGCAUAUAUAUUUUUAAAUUAUUACAUUAACCAUGCGUGUUCGCUUAUUUUGUACUGUUCUGUAGUUUCGACCCAAUGAUUCAUCUGACAAAGAACUUUGCGUCCUGCAGGCCCAGGCAUGGAUCAAAGCUGAUGAGACAUUCAAUAAUGUUAUCUUCACAGACGAAUCAACCGUGGCCCUUGAGCAAUUUGCUCAAAAUCGCUACAGAAAAAAAGGAAGGAGAUCAAGCAAGCAGAGUCUCAAACAUCCGCUCAAACUCCAUGUGUGGGGGGCAAUUUCUCGCCAGGCAAUUUCUCGUCAGGCACCAGGCCCAUAUUGGAUUUUUGAUGAUAUCAUGGCUCGAGAUUUCUUUGAGGACUGUCAGAGAGGUGUUUCUGGGUACACAUUGUUUCUUUCAAGACAAUGACAUAAAACACGGGUUUGCAUUGCAAAUGAGGCCAUAAACUGGGUCAAGUCGCCAGCAGAGUCUCCUGAUUUAAACCCGAUCGAACUUGUUUGGCAUCAACUGAAAACAUUCAUCUGUAACUCUGCCAUGCCGACAGGCAAAGAUGAACUGUUCAAGGCCAUCAAGAUGUUUUGGCUAGAGAAAUUGAUGAUACAACAAUGCAACAAAUACAUUGGAGAAAAAAGUAUAUUGUCCUGUCAGUAGGAAACAUUUGCAUGAUGGGCUAAUUUGCA